GCUCAAUUUGACUAAGCAUAGGAAAUCUUACCCGGGCCGACAGAGAAAAAAUUGACAGAAUAAUGGCAUGUUCUUGAUUCUGUGGGUAAUAGUGCAUGGCAAUGCUUAGUUGGUAGAGCGAUUUGUCUGGUUAAUUCUUAUAACGAAUGAGACUCUAGACUGCUCAGUAGAAACUCUAGAGUAUUUAUACUCAUAAACUAAAAUUAAAUACUUAACAGGUCAAAGAAAGGCUGAUUAUGUCCUCCCCUCCUGAGGCUAUGAAAUUUCCUUUAAGUGGAGAAUCCAUCCCAAGUUCAGAACUUUUGUUCUUUCGACUCUGGAAAUUGAUGGAGUAUACAGUUUUUUUAUGGAAAUCUAGAAUUACUUUUCUGCGUUAUUUUAAAUUUCAACAGCA
rnacentral:ncRNA from 1 species